rfam:Micromonospora narathiwatensis strain DSM 45248 genome assembly, chromosome: I
GGUCAUGAGCGCCAGCGCCAAGCCCCGGCUCGCUGGCCGGCAACCCUCCUCCGCGGUGGGGUGCCCCGGGUGAGGACCAGGCACCGGCAGCACGCCGGUGCAAGCGUGGCCU